CCUAGGUGACUUACAACCUGCAAUUUAAUGAAAAAGUAAUAAUUACAAAAGUGUUAAUCUUUUAUUUUUUUACAAAUUCUUUUUUAUAUUACCAGACUAUGAAUUUAUUUAUAAAUUGAAGAGCAUAACUUCUAAAGGGUCCAAGUGCCAAUUUUGACCAAUUUUAUAUUUUGUUACAAAAAGGUUUUAAUUGUUGGCCCCAACGCAUUUAAAAAGGCUCUAAGUGCCAAAUCGCAAGAAUGUGCUUUUGCAACGCGACGAAAGAUGGUGCAAGGUCUAAGUCCCAGCAUUGCCUUUAAGUUAAAAGGGUCUAUGUGCCACCAGUGUUGGUCUGUUUAUUUAAUCAUUAAACUUCAGUAUAACGUGGCGCUGCGACGGAAAACAGUAAACAUGCUAUGGAAAAUGCUGCUGGCAGAAAAAGGUGAAAAAGAAAUACGGAAAGUAUCCUAAAUGAAAGAAAAAGAUUGAGGCUAUCUGAAAAGCAAUAUACAACCUAUAAAGGCGUUUUAGUUUCCAAAAGAAAAACACCAACAGAUAAUAUGGAAUGCAAAUGUAAUAAUUUAAAAUGUAAACUGAUCUCGGCUGCACAAAAGAUGCUCCUGUUUGAUGAAUUCUACAAAAUGGAAGAUCAUAUUAGACAAAGUUCUUACUUAUUUGGAUUAAUUCAAGUUGUACCGGUCAAUAAACGGCGUCAUGGCGAAUAUGAAAAUCCUAGGGAAAGUCGCAGGCAAUGUACAGUAUACUACACCAUUCCUGAUGGUACUGGUAAGCAUGUCCAAGUUUGUCGUAAAACAUUUUCGGAUAUAUUUGCAUUGUCCCAUAAAAGAGUUCAAGUCUUAGUAGAAAAGAAAAAGAAAGGGGACACUGUUUACAAGGAUUGUAGAGGAAAAGCAAAUAAGGCACGAAAAUAUUUUCCGAGCUUAAGAGAACAAAUUAAAACUUACAUUAAUUCAUUACCAAAAGAAGAAAACCACUACAGUAGCACUAAAUCUUCUAAGGAAUUUCUUAGCGCGGAACUUAAUAUAAAUCGGUUAUUUAUAGCUUUUAAAAAUAAAUUUCCUGAUACAGUGGCAACAUACAGAUAUUUCUCAGAUGUGUUUAAAAAGGAUUUUCCCAACUUACAAUUUGGCAGACCAAAAUCAGAUACCUUUUCCACCUGUGACCGUUAUCAAAAUAAAAUAAAAGCUGCAACUGAUGAAAACUCUUAGUUUUAUCCAUAGAUAUGGAACAAGUCCUAUUUAUUCCUACAUUAACACAUAGCCAGAUGUCUUAUAGCCGCCAGCUUUCCUGCUAUAAUGUCUGUGUUCACAUGUCAGACAAUGGAAACGCCUAUAUGUGCUUAUGGAAUGAGUCAAUUUCAGGAAGAGGCGGUAAUGAAGUUGCAUCAGCAUUGCUCAAAGUAUUACGCCGAAAUGAUCUUCGAUUGAAACCAAAAUUUACUAUUUGGUCUGAUAACUGCAUUGGACAGAACAAAAACCGUAUGCUUCUGUUUCUUUUUCUUUAUUUUGUGGCAAAUGGUGUCUUUCAAGAAAUCGAGCAAAAAUGUUUACUUAGUGGACACUCUUUUCUGCCAUGCGACCGCGAUUUUGCUCAAAUUGAAAAAAAGAGUAAUGAAAUACUAUGUGUCAAGUGAUAUCGAAAAUAUGAUAAAAAGUGCACGUCAUCAAAAUCCAUUUACUGUAGUUCCUCUAACAGAAGAGGAUUUCAAGGACUUUAAUAAAGCCCGUGACACUAUUAUAAAUACUUCGAAACUUAACAUUUCUUCGGUCUGUUGGAUAAGAGUCUCACAUGAAAAUCCUGGCAAAGUUUUUACUAAAACAUCAUUUAGUGACUUGCAAGAGUAGACAAUAUGUAAUGUUAUAAAAAAAGGAAGAAAAGUAGAAGAUCUGAAAAGUAUGCAUCUCGAGCAACUAAAUUGCAAAAAUAAAAUAUUAAAAGAAAAACUAAAAAAUUUAGAAGAUAUGAUGGACUAUAUUCCUCUUAAACAUCUGCCUUUUUACGACAAACUUAUAGAGAAGACACAUCAAGCUUUAGAUAUCCAAACGCCUUCUACCUUUACUUAGAUACCGUUACCUUACCAAGGAUGUUUCAUUUUGUUUUGUGUGUUUUUUUUAAUUUUAUGCAUUUGCUUUAAGUUUAUUUUUAUGUUAGUAUUUUAUAUUUUAAUACUGUGUAUAUACUAACAAAACUAAAAUAAAGAAAAUAUAUAC
rnacentral:lncRNA from 1 species